rnacentral:rRNA from 1 species
GAUGAACGCUGGCGGCGUGCCUAAUACAUGCAAGUCGAGCGAACAGAUAAGGAGCUUGCUCCUUUGACGUUAGCGGCGGACGGGUGAGUAACACGUGGGUAACCUACCUAUAAGACUGGGAUAACUUCGGGAAACCGGAGCUAAUACCGGAUAACAUUUGGAACCGCAUGGUUCUAAAGUGAAAGAUGGUUUUGCUAUCACUUAUAGAUGGACCCGCGCCGUAUUAGCUAGUUGGUAAGGUAACGGCUUACCAAGGCAACGAUACGUAGCCGACCUGAGAGGGUGAUCGGCCACACUGGAACUGAGACACGGUCCAGACUCCUACGGGAGGCAGCAGUAGGGAAUCUUCCGCAAUGGGCGAAAGCCUGACGGAGCAACGCCGCGUGAGUGAUGAAGGGUUUCGGCUCGUAAAACUCUGUUAUUAGGGAAGAACGAACGUGUAAGUAACUGUGCACGUCUUGACGGUACCUAAUCAGAAAGCCACGGCUAACUACGUG